rnacentral:rRNA from 1 species
CUAAGGCUCCAGAGGAAGCCACGGCUAACUCUGUGCCAGCAGCCGCGGUAAUACAGAGGCGGCAAGCGUUGUUCGGAAUUAUUGGGCGUAAAGAGCGCGUAGGCGGCCUUGCAAGUCAGUUGUGAAAGCCUUCCGCUUAACGGAAGAAUGCCAGCUGAUACUACAGGGCUUGAGUACGGGAGGGGAGAGUGGAACUUCUGGUGGAGCGGUGAAAUGCGUAGAUAUCAGAAGGAACGCCGGCGGCGAAAGCGACUCUCUGGCCCGAAAUUGACGCUGAGUGUGCGAAAGCUAGGGGAGCAAACGGGAUUAGAUACCCCGGUAGUCCUAGCCGUAAA